UGAUAGCGAAAGGGACACACCUGGAAACAUUUCGAACCCAGAAGUAAAGUCUUUCAGCGCCGAAAGUAUUGGAUGGGCAGCUGUCUAAGAGGUUAGGACAUAGCUAAAC
rnacentral:rRNA from 1 species